rnacentral:rRNA from 1 species
GUAGAAGCUGAGGAGUUCUAAUUAAAUAUCUUAUUUUGAUACUAGAAAGGGGAAGGUCGGAGGACGCUCUAGAACCUACUCAAAAGUCUUUAUAGAAGAGGACUUCCAUUGAACUUUUCUACUUUAUGUGGAUAGUUCUGCUCUUUUCUAAAUCUACUAUAAAGAGGAAGGAUCCCGCUCCGUCUUCUCAAAGGCUUUUGACAACUGCUUUUUUUUCUUCAUUUCUCUUUUUUUCUCUCCUUUCAGUCAAGCCCUCACCGCUCCGUGGGUUUUAGAAGUAGUCUUCUGACAAUAUCCCUAUCUUAUGGAGCCUCUUGACCUUUUCCUUUUUCUUCCUUCUCACUGAUUUUUAUACUUUCAGUGGAUAGUCGGACACCUGAACCUCUUUCAAUUUUAUAUUCACUUUCUUUCUCUCUUGUGGAAGUUUGUGCGUGGAAUCCCAUGUGAAUUAGUAAGGACCACCUUGCAAGCUUCUAACAGGGCUCCUGACUGACUGAUAGUGAAGUAGUACCGUGAGAGAAUGGUGAAAAGAACCCUUAUCAGGGAGUGAAAUAGAAGAUGAAAUCGUCAGCUUUCAAGCAGUGGGAGGAGACUAGGACUCUGACCACAUGUCUAUUGAAGAAUGUGUCGGUGACUCAUUGGCAGUGGCUUAGUUAAGGGAACCCACUGGAGCCGUAGCAAAAGCAAGUCUAAAUGGGGGCAAUUCUCAGUGCUUAUGGACCCGAACCUUUCUUUUCUAGGAUGAAGCUUGGGUGAAACUAAGUGGAGGUUUAAAUCGAUUGAUGAUGAAUAAUCAGCGGAUGAGUUAUGGUUAGGGGUAAAAUGCCACUCAAACCCAGAGCUAGCUGGUUCUCCCCGAAAUGCAUUGAGGGGAAAUAGUUGACUGGACAUUUAGAGGUAAAGCACUGUUUCGGUGCAGGCCAUAAGAGCGAUACCAAAUCGAGGCAAACUCUAAAUACUAGAUAUGAUCUCAAAAUCAUAAGGGUCAAGAUCGGCCAAUGAAAUGAUGGUGGAUAAGCUUCAUCGUCGAAAGCGGUACCAAAUCGAGGUAAACUCUGAAUACUAGAUAUGAUUGUAAAAUCACAAGGGUCAAGAUCGGCCAGUGAAACGAUGGUGGAUAAGCUUCAUCGUUGAGAGAGAAAUAGCCCGGAUCACCAGCUAAGGCCCUUAAAUAAUCGCUCAGUGAUAAAUGAGGUAAGUGUGUAGAGAUAGCCAGGAGGUUGGCCUAGAAGCAGCCACCCUUAAAAGAGUGCGUAAUAGUUCAAUGAUCGAGCGCUCUUGUAUCAAAGAUGAACGGGGCUAAGCGAUUUUUCAAAGCUACGGGGUGUCAAAAUGCUUUGGUAGACGAGCGUUUUGCCUUAUAGGGAAGCGCUUGCGAGAGCAGUGGUGGACGAAGUGGAAGCGAGAAUGUUGGCUUUUUUAAGGCAAACAUUGGUGAGAAUCCGAUGCCCUGAAAACUGCUUCAUGGAAGUUCCUCUACAAGGUUCAUCUAUGGAGGGUGAGACAAGGCUUAAGAUCAGGCCGAAAGGCAUAGUCGAUAGACAGAGGUGAAUAUUCCAGUACUACCCCUUGUUGGUCCCAAGGGACGGAGGAGGCUAGGUUAGUAGAAAGAUGGUUAUUGGUUCAAGGACAUAAGGUGCCCCUAUUUUUUAGGGUCAGAGAGGUAGAGAAAAUACCUCGAGCCAAUGUUCAAGUACGAGGCGCUAGGCCACUAAAGUCACCCAUGCCAUACUCCCAGGGAAAGCUCAAACGACCUUCAACAAAAGGGUACCUGUACCCGAAACUGACAUAGGUGGUUAGGUAGAAAACACCUAAGGGCGCAAGAUAACUAUCUCUAAGGAACUCAGCAAAAUAGCCUCGUAACUUCGGGAGAAGGGGUGCCUCAUCACAAAGAGGGUUACAGUGACCAAGCUUGGGCGACUGUUUACCAAAAACAAAGGUCUUCGCAAAGUCGAAAGACCAUGUCUGGGGGCAAACACCUACCUAGUGCCAAAAGGUCAAGGAAGUUGUGACCUGAUGACAGGAGAGCCUAAACCGAAGCCCCGAUGAAUGGCAGUUGUCACUAUAACGGUCCCAAUGAAGUGGUAGCAAAAUUCCUUAUAGGGUCAGUUCCGACCCGCACGAAAGGAGUAACGGUUUGAGCACUAUCUCUGAGAGAGGCUCAAUGAAAUAGACAUGUCUGUAAAGAUGCGAACUACAUGCACUUGGACAGAAAGACCCUAUUCAACUUACUCUUCCCUAGGAUUGGCUUUGGGCCUUUCCUGUACAGCCCACGGAACGGUGGAAGGCGAAUGAAGCUAAAUAGGAUCUAUGGGGCAUAGGCCUUCCAAAAGGUAACAGAGGCGUGCAAAGGUCUUCUUGGACCAGACGAAGAUUGGCCCUCGAGUGCAAAGUCAUAAUGGAGCUUAACUACAACACCCACUCAGUAGGGAUAAAAGUCUGCUUUAGUGAUUCGACGAUGCCGAGUGAAAGUGUUGUCACUCAACGGAUAAAAGUGACUCUAGGAAUAAGAGGCUAAUCUUCCCCAAGAGCUCAUAAGGGAAGGUUUGGCACCUCGAUGAUGACUCUUCACCACCUGGGGCUGUAGGUUGGGUUGUUCGCCUAUAAAAGCAGUACGUGAGCUGGGUUCAGAAUGUUGUAAGACAGUUUUGUUCAUAUUCGGUGUGGGCCUUAGAACAUUGAGAGGACCUUUCUCUAGUAACAGAGAACCAGAAAGGACGCACCUCAGGUAUAUCAGUUAUCAUGCCCACGGUAAAGGCUGGGUAGCCAAGUGUGGAGCGGAUAACUGUUGAAAGCAUCUAAGUAGUAAACCCACCCCAAGAUGAGUACUCUCCUAUUCCGACUUCCCAGAGACUCUGGUAGCACAGUUGAGACAGCGAUGGGUUCUCUACCCCUACGGGGAUGAAGCGAUAAAUUGUUUUGGAAUGAAAGAGAAGGUCACGACGAGAUGAGUUGUUUAUCAUCACGAUAGGUGUCAAGUGGAAGUGCAGUGAUGUAUGCAGUUGAAACAUCCUAAUAGACCGGUAGACUUGAAC